AUACGGAGGGUGCAAGCGUUGUUCGGAAUUAUUGGGCGUAAAGAGCAUGUAGGCGGUUCGUUAAGUCUGUUGUGAAAGCCCGGGGCUCAACCCCGGAAGUGCAUUGGAUACUGGCGAACUUGAGUACGGGCGAGGAAAGUGGAAUUUCGAGUGUAGGGGUGAAAUCCGUAGAUAUUCGAAGGAACACCAGUGGCGAAGGCGGCUUUCUGGACCGAUACUGACGCUGAGAUGCGAAAGCGUGGGGAGCAAACAGGAUUAGAAACCCGGGUAGUCC
rnacentral:rRNA from 1 species